CAUGUCAGACGGACUACUUGUUUCUAUUUCUCUCGGGAAAGAAACAGAAGUUUCGAGUACCCCUCCUAAAGAUCAAAGUCGCUACACACGGUGCAAAUCUCUCGGUCUCUCUCCCGACGCGAGAGGCGGUUUCCAGGCGGGCUGCCUCCGCUGGUCUCCAUCGCCUCCGGUAAGCCGUCGGGCUCUCGGAGGUGUGCGGGACAGUGUACGACCGUGAUGCGGUUGUAGAUAAUGUUGUUUUAGGAUUUUAUUCUGGCACUGGCGGGCAGGCAGGGGCGACGUCAAUGCUAUGGGAUAAGGUUCCCCCUGGCUCCUUUCCCGUCUCUGCGGUGCUCCCUCCGGCCGGUGGCACUGUGGGGUUAGGGAGGUUGGCCUCUCUCUUAUCCAGCGAGGUUUGGUCGGUGAUGGGGGUGCACAAUAGUAUAGAAGUUGGGAUUUGUGGAGAGGGAUUCCCAGAUCAGGUCGCCUCGGACGGCCGACAGCUGCACACUGUUGCGGGCGAAGUGGUUUGAGUUGCGGCUCCACUCCGUCGUAGGCUACCGCUGGUCAAGGGAUCACUUGGUCUACCCCAGGCCGAUGCACCGGAACCCUCCCUGGUUCCGUCUUUUGGGGCGGGACUUAUAUGCGGCUCACAAAGCCAUGGAUCGGUGAUGCUGCUCCUCAUGCCCGUUGUCUUGUGGAUGACGGCUAGCACCGGCGAGUGCAGAGAUCAGCGUGCCUAGGUGAAUAAGGAAGAUGAACUGGGCUGUAAGUUACUUUGUUUGCUCUGUCGGUGUUAUUCCCUUUAGUGUUAUCUCUGCCUCUCUAGUUCUCAAGCUCCAACGACAUGCCCUUUUUUGUGCUGGCCAUGGAGGCUAGCAGCGGCAGGACUGCCAUGACUAGGCCGCGCAAUAUUUCUAACAGUGUUGAGCUACUCGUUCCCGACAGCUCCGAUGCCAAGCUGCCAAUAGAAGCAGAGCAGGUAUGUGUGUGAUGGAUCUUUUAAUGAUAAGUUUGCUUCCUGUUCGAUUAGGUGCAUAUUUCGCAAGGUAAUGUUGUUCUAUCAUGUCUCUGAUUUUGAUUUUGAUUUUGAUUUUUUCUGCAGAUUUCAGGAUAUAGAAGGCAGCUUCAGGAAGGGGUCGCUGACGAGGUGAGGCCAUUGCGUCUAUUCUUGUGUUAGUUUGUUUCAAAGAAAUCACACUAAUUUCUCUCAGUAUACUCUAUAGAGAAAUAAGUACUGAAGCAGGCUUCACCGAAGACUACUGAUCUAGAAUUGUCUGUUGCUGAAAUAAGUCCAGGAGCUAUGGAGCAGGCUGAACAAUUUUCUGUUGAUUUUACUCAAUGGAUUGUCCCUGUAAUUUGACCAAACGUCAUGUCGCCGUGCCACUGAAGUUUUUGCACAGAAUUCUUGUCUUUUUGGGUGGUGCCAAGCUGUCUUUUUGUUGAACAAUGCCACAAUUGCAUAGUUGUAAGUUAUUUAGGAUUGUCUCUAUUGCAUACGACCUGGAGUUACAAGAGGUCCAGUACUAAUUUUGUGUAUGUAUGUACAUGUGCAGUCGCCCAUUUUCUAUACACAUGAUUCCAAAACAUCUUUUACUGUACAUUUUGUUUCUUUGCUCGGUACAAAAUGUAUUGCAAGUGUUGUUCAUUUUUUUCCCUUCUGUAAAUAUACUAGAGACCCUCUAAGGGCUCAGUUUUCUUCCCGUUGUCUGAAUAUACCCAGAUUUAUUUUGUGUGUGCGUAUUUAACAAAGCAUUUAGUUAACC
rnacentral:lncRNA from 1 species